rnacentral:rRNA from 1 species
GCUAGAUUCGCCGACACAGAGUUUGAUCCUGGCUCCCCGGGUUCGUCAACAAAUUUUUUGGACGUGAAAUAACUUGUGUGAAUAUAGCUCCAGGUCGGGGAUCCCUAAGGAAAAACGGUGGCUAAUACCGGAUGUGCCAAAAGGUGAAAGAUUUAUUGCCUGAAGAUGAGCUCGCGUCUGAUUAGCUAGUUGGUGUGGUAAGAGCGCACCAAGGCGACGAUCAGUAGCUGGUCUGAAAGGAUGAUCAGCCACACUGGGACUGAGACACGGCCCAAACUCCUACGGGAGGCAGCAGUGGGGAAUUUUCCGCAAUGGGCAAAAGCCUGACGGAGCAAUACCGCGUGAGGGAGGAAGGCUCUUGGGUUGUAAACCUCUUUUCUCAGGGAAUAAAAAAAUGAAGGUACCUGAGGAAUAAGCAUCGGCUAACUCCGUGCCAGCAGCCGCGGUAAUACGGAGGAUGCAAGCGUUAUCCGGCAUGAUUGGGCGUAAAGCGUCCGCAGGUGGCACUGUAAGUCUGCUGUUAAAGAGCAAGGCUCAACCUUGUAAAGGCAGUGGAAACUACAGACCUAGAGUACGUUCGGGGCAGAGGGAAUUCCUGGUGUAGCGGUGAAAUGCGUAGAGAUCAGGAAAAACACCGGUGGCAAAAGCGCUCUGCUAGGCCGUAACUGACACUGAGGGGACGAAAGCUAGGGGAUCGAAUGGGAUUAGAUACCCCAGUAGUCCUAGCCGUAAACGAUGGAUACAAGGCGU